ensembl:lncRNA
GUCAUGGAUAUCAUUAGGAUCUUUGGGAUCGGUGGGGUCAGUGGGGUUAUUCGGGUCAGUGAGGCUGUUGGGGUCAAUAGGAUCAUCAGGAUCAGUGGGGUCAGUGGUGUCAUACGGGGUCAUUGGGGUCAAUGAGGCCAUGUUGGAUCAUUGGGGUCAGUGGGGUCACUGGGUCAUUGGGGUCAGUGGGGUCAGUGGGGUCAAUAGGGUCAUAUGAGGUUAAUGGGGUCAAUGGGGUCAGUGGGGCAAAGGGGUUGUUGGGGUCAUAUGGGAAAUGGACCCAAUUCUUCCCUUGUUCUGACGCAGAAACAACAUUGGAUUCCCACAUAGGCACCCAUGGGGGCAUUCGAUUCCCCUGCAGGUUCCUGCUGGGUUCGGGGCUCCCCUGAUGGGGAACUGCUCAUCUCCUUCUGCGACCGCCCCCCAACGCCACUACUGCCUCCUCUUUGAUAAUGUCUACCCGGAGUGAGAUGAAGGAACAACGGCUCAGACGUUGGUGGGAGCGGUUCAGUACGAAUGUCAAUGAGGGAGAUGGGGAGGGGGAGGACGGACAGCAUUACGGGUUGGGGUGAUGGGGAAGGGAAGAAAGGGAGCAGGAAAGAGGAAAUAGGAGCGGGGAGUCUCCAUAGGUACAGAUUGGGUGAUGGGGAAGGAAGAAAAGGAGCAGGAAAGAUAGGAAAUAGGAGCGGGGAGUGUCCAUAGGUACAAAUUGGGUGAUGGGGAAGGGAAGAAGGGCAGCAGGAAAGAGGAAAUGGGAGCGAGGAGUCUAUAGGUACAGAUUGGGGUGAUGGGGAAGGGAAAAAGGGAAGCAGGAAAGAUAGGAAAUAGGAGCAAGGAGUCUAUAGGUACAGAUUGGGGUGAUGGGGAAGGAAGAAAAGGAGUAGGAAAGAUAGGAAAUAGGAGCGGGGAGUCUAUAGGUACAGAUUGGGUGAUGGGGAAGGGAAGAAGGGCAGCAGGAAAGAUAGGAAAUAGGAGCGAGGAGUCUCCAAAGGCACAAAUUGGGGUGAUGGGGAAGGAAGAAAAGGAGCAGGAAAGAGGAAAUGGGAGCAAGGAGAGUCUAUAGGUACAUAUUGGGUGAUGGGGAAGGGAGAAAGGGCAGCAGGAAAGAGGAAAUGGGAGCGGGGAGUGUCCAUAGGUACAGAUUGGGUGAUGGGGAAGGGAAAAAGGGCAGGAAAGAGGAAAUGGGACUGAGGAGUCUCCAAAGGCACAAACUGGGGUGAUGGGGAAGGGAAGGAGCCCAAGGCUGUCCCACCACCACGCAUUGCAGCCUUGGAAAGUCAGCUGCAACUACAAGCCUCUGUCAGAAUCAAAACAGGCACCGUACAUGAAGGGUGACCUCUGAACUGAAGUGAGUAUGACUUCUCUGCAGCCCAGUAAAAACCAGUCAAGGCCAAUACGACCUCGUAGUGGUCAAUAGAGUCCCAGGGGAACCCGUAGGAAACAAAACCCAGGCCCUGUGCCAGCAUCUCUGUUUGGGGCUUUGAGUGCCAGGGCUGAUGUCAGCCACUCCGGCUGUGGCUUCAAGUCCCAGUGCUGGGCUCCCCGGCUGUGUCUGUGGCCUUAGGCCCUUGGCUGGCUCUGGCCUCUCCAGCUGGGGCUGUGGCUUUACAUCCCUGGACAGGUUGCAGCCCUUCUGGCUGUCUUUUGAGGCCCUGAAGCCGGUGCUGACCUCUCAGGCUGUUGCUUUGGGCCCCAGGGCCAGUGCUGGCCUUUUGGGCUGUGGCUUUGGGCCCUGGGGUCGAUGGCAGCCUGUGUGGCUGUGUGGCUGU